rnacentral:rRNA from 1 species
GAUGAACGCUGGCGGCGUGCCUAAUACAUGCAAGUCGAGCGAACAGACGAGGAGCUUGCUCCUCUGACGUUAGCGGCGGACGGGUGAGUAACACGUGGAUAACCUACCUAUAAGACUGGGAUACCUUCGGGACACCGGAGCUAAUACCGGAUAAUAUAUUGAACCGCAUGGUUCAAUAGUGAAAGACGGUUUUGCUGUCACUUAUAGAUGGAUCCGCGCCGCAUUAGCUAGUUGGUAAGGUAACGGCUUACCAAGGCGACGAUGCGUAGCCGACCUGAGAGGGUGAUCGGCCACACUGGAACUGAGACACGGUCCAGACUCCUACGGGAGGCAGCAGUAGGGAAUCUUCCGCAAUGGGCGAAAGCCUGACGGAGCAACGCCGCGUGAGUGAUGAAGGUCUUCGGAUCGUAAAACUCUGUUAUUAGGGAAGAACAAAUGUGUAAGUAACUAUGCACGUCUUGACGGUACCUAAUCAGAAAGCCACGGCUAACUACGUG